AUGAACCUCUUACUGUGUAACCCCCACUGCAACUGACGGCACUACCCCUGCUUCCACAGGGACCACGGAUGCGUAUACAUGGAAUGGAAACUGGAUUCCGAAUCUAUAAUGCCGAUCCAUUUAAAAAAAAAAAGAAGAAGAGAAAAAAAGAAUUUCUAGAAGAAGGAGUUGGCCAUGUUGAAAUAUUAUUUCACAGUAGCUAUUUAGCUUGCUUUAGUGGCCAGUGGGGAAAAGCUGAAAAUAGCCUCCCGGUAAAGCGACAAUCUGGGAUGACCAGAAAAGGACUGUUAUUGAAGUAAAAGUUUCUACAGAAGUUAAGGCGGUCAAAUUGUGACAAGAUAGAAUUGUGGUCGUUUUGAGUUCCUUGAUUAAAGUAUUUACAAGGAUAUGCAGUGCCCAUCAGUCACACGUCUUGGAAACCUGCUCUAACCUUAAAGGCCUUUGUGCCUUGUGUCCCAGUAGAUAGUAACAGCUCUCUCGUGACCUCCCCCAUCACACACAUGAGUUAUGUGAAGCUUGUGGUCUUGCUAGCACCAAGAAGCCACCUGUAGACCUUCUUGCACACAAGGACGUCCUAAACUGGUGGCCCUCAACCACCAGUAGGGAACAAGAAUUGCAACCACAUCUCGAAAAAACAGACCCUUAUAAGAAUAUUUGCUACUGCAUCAGGGCCUUUUAUCCAGGAACUAUGAAAAAGAUCACAAAGUGGCAAAUAUUUAUUGCAUCAACUUCAAUUGGGAAGCUUCCCUCAUCGGAGUAUCCGACGACCAUGGCACAGUACUUUUUUUUUUUUUUUUUUUUUUUUUUUUUUUUUUUUUUUUGCUGCUGAAAAUCCAAAAAGUUCGGUGUUCAAACUAGAGCCAGUUUUCUUCCAAAAUACUUCAGUUGCAAGUGGAAUUUUUCCAACUCUCAGAUUCCUUCAGGUUUGCCAUGCAUUUGUGCUUUUGGAACAGAGUCAAAUGCUGUCAUUGUGAUUUGUGCAGAUGGCAUCUACUACAGAUUCCUAUUCAACCCCAAGGGUGGCGCAUCCAAGAUGUCUAAGUGCAGUUUCUAGCAAUGACCAGUGACAAGCUGUGA
rnacentral:lncRNA from 1 species